CGCCUGGGAGCGCCUCUCGCCCCGUCGCGUUUAUCGAGGAGACAGGUGAAAACUGAGGUUUAGAGAGGGUAAAUAACUUGCCCAAAAUCUGGAAAAGUUUGCCAACCCCUGGUCUUACUCCUCAUUAAGGUUUCCCUUCCUCUCCACCAUUCCCAAAUCUGAGUAUUCCAGAAGAGCUACUGUUUUUUUAAUGAUAUGGUAAAUUAAUUUCUAAAGGGAUUAAAAUGAAUACCUACCUGUUGUAAUGAAAAUAAAUGUAUAACAUAAAGCAAUCUGCAAAAUAGUAAGUAUACACUCAAAAUCUGUUAGCCAUUAUUACCAUUGUUAUUAUUUUUAUUUUCAGUCCAACCAACACUGAUACUGCUGAACUCCUUUUUUUUUAUGGAGUUUAUGGCACAUGUUUAAGUUAAUUAAUUAUGUAAGAUACAUAUAUAUAUGUACACAUGGUAAGGUGGAGCGGUUGUGAUAAUACCACAAGCUGCCUGAAGGGGCAGCCCACCCUAGAUCCUUUCCUAACUGAACAAGAUUCCAAAACACCAGUACCUCUGGUAAGUGGAAGGGCCCAGUCCAUCCCCCAGGCUGUGUCCUUGUGCGUCAGUCCUCUUGCUUCCCUCAGGCUCUACUUCUUUUUCCUACAAGCACAGAGAGCAUUGGGAUCAGUCAUGGAGCCCUGCCAGGGAUGAUGGGGAUUGAGAGCAGCCAAAUACCCUACAGGAGCCCAUGCAGCAGCCCACAGCUCUGCAGAGAGAAACUAAACUGGUGAUUACCAUGAGCUCCAGCCCCGGGUUCACUGUGCCAGUCUCCACUGUGGACAGAGCAAUGGACUGUCUUCCACUUGCUUUCUCCAUCUCCUGUUCUCCUCAACUGAAAAACAAAUUCAGGGCCAAGCCUGAAAGAUUGGUCAUUCUGUUCUGUGGGGAUGGGGAGAAUUUUUAGGACCAGUUACCCAUGGAAAACGCAAAACUAAAAGUCUUUGAAGGCUUAGUUGAUUUCUUUAAGAACUGAGAAUUGAGAAGAUUGGAUGUGUAAUUUUUAUAUAAUAAAUAAUGAAAAAUAAAAUCCUAUUUCCUCUUGUGAAUAGCUAAAGAAGAGGCAGUAAGAUAGGAGAAGAGAAAUGAAAGGCAGUGGAAUUGAAAUGAAUCAGUGGGCCGCCCAGGGCCCCAGGAUCUGGGCUAUAAAGGUUCCUACUUGGACCCUCAAAGAAAGAGUCACAGGUUUUAUGUCUUGGGCCCUCCUUCGCUGAGCCUGCCCUCAAUGUAGAGGAGGACUGCACCUCUCAAGUUAAAUAUUAUAUGUUUUUAAGACUGUUUUGCAGGCCUAAGACUUAUGCAGAGGUGGCGCCCGCCCGUAAUCCCAGCACUUCGGGAGGCCGAGACGGGCGGAUCGCUUGAGACCAGCCAGGAUAACAUGGCGAAACCACAUCUCUACAACAAAUACAAAAAUUAGCUGGGCGCGGUGGCACACGACUGUGGUUCCAGUUACUCGGCAGGCGGAGGUGGAAGGAUCCCUUGAGCCUCUGGAGGUGGAGGUUGCAGUGAGCUGUGAUUGCGCCACUGCACUCCAGCCUGGGCGACAGAGUGAGACCCUGUCAGAAAACAAAACAAAACAAAAGAAUUCUGUAAGAACUUCUAACAGGUACAUUCCUGUAAGCAUUACCCACCACUGGACUAGGCACUGGGUAGCCUGUAAAAUACAGUAAGAGCCGUCUCUGCACCCAGAAAAUUUACCAUCAUUUUGUGCUGGAAAGACAUGCCCUAGAAAACAAUAAACAGCACGACUGUACAUGAUUCCAUGCCAAAUGACUGCUAGGAAUUAUUUUAUUAAUCCAUUCAACAAAUACUUAUUGAGUAACCACUAUUAGCCAGCCACCGUUUUCCGUGUGAGGACAUAAAAAUGAGUGAGACAAGGUCUCUGCCAUCAAAAAACGAACAGAUCAGUGAGGAAAGACGGAUGUGUCAAGAAAGGCUUUGCAGGUCGAGCGCGGUGAAUCACGCUUGUAAUCCCAGCACACUGGGAGGCAGAGGCAGGCGGAUCAUUUGAGGUCAGGCGCUCGAGACCACCCUGGCCAACAUGGCGAAACUCCAUCUCUACUAAAAAUACAAAAAUUAUCCGGGCAUGGUGGUGCAGGCUUGUAAUCUCAGCUACUCAGGAGGCUGAGGCAGGAGAAUCAUUUGAACCCAGGAGGCAGAGGUUGCAGUGAGCCAUGAUCAUGCCACUGCACUCCAGCCUGGGUGAGCGAGACUCCAUCUCAAAAAAAAAAAAAAAAAAAAAAAAGAGGGAGAGAAAGACUUUACAGAGCUGGUAACACUUAUCCUGGCCUGGAAAGAAAGAAAGAAAGCUUCCUAUGACGCCCUCUGGAUAAAACUUA
rnacentral:lncRNA from 1 species